rnacentral:rRNA from 1 species
AUGAACUGUGCUUUCAGCUUUCAGCGUUCAGCCAUUUAUGUUGUCCUCUGUUUGCUAUUGCAAACCCUUAUGUCCUUGUUCUUUUUAUUUCAUUAUAUGCCUCUACGUUGUUUACACCAAAAAUCAAAUUAUCACUUGGUUGAUAUUUCUGCUAAUCAAUGCAUCAUAGGUCUAAUGCUGAUGCCAAUGCGUCGGCUCUGCAAAGAAAGCAAGGCAGUAGCUCUUCCAUGCUCUAGGUUCAUGUAUCUAUACAUUGAUAUUUCUGCUAAUCAAUGCAUCAUAGGUCUAGUGCUGAUGCCAAUGCGUCGGCUCUGCAAAGAAAGCAAGGCAGUAGCUCUUCCAUGCUCUAGGCAGGUCAGCAUGCAGCAAAGCAGUGACAGUAGCCACACAACCAACGACAUCAAGCAGCAAACAACAUGCAAAGGCUAUUUCUCACCCUGCUGUUAG